UGAUUGUAACAAAUGUCAGGCAACGUUAAACAGCCAACCUCAACGUUGAAUGUACGUUGCCAGCUGUACGUUCAAGUGAUGUCAUAAAUAAAUGUCACAGCAACGUCCUGACACCCACGUUGUGUCAACGUUGCGUGUAAACAUCAAUUUAACGUGUAAAUGGUAUCAAUGUAGCAACGUUACAAAACAGCACGUUCCAAGAACGUUGCCGGAUGUCACCAAUAUUGACAUUAAUGUGAUGCCAGGCUGCUGUAGCAUUUCGCAUGUAUACGUUCAUGCAACUAUAAGAUAUUGUAAUUUUCAACUGAACAUUCAUCUUUAUCAUACAGUGAGGUAUGGAGAUGUAUAGUGGUUAUGCAGUAAUUAAUAUCUUCUAAGGAACACCAUGUUAAAUUAUGUUUAUUAUGCUUCUCCACAGAUAAGAUCUGCUACAAAUUAUAUCAAAUGGCAGAAGCAUUCACAUGGAAAAAAUGCUAAUUGUUGCAACGGUUCACCUAUAGUAGACAAAGUUACGCAUAAAAGUAUUCCCUUCUUCCACACCAAAUGCACAAGACUUUGUGACUGCUUGCACGCCACAUGCCCCUAAAAGUGGAAACAUUAAGCAAGGGCCAUCAUGAAUAGGCACAAGCCCCAUGAUACGAGCUGCAUAAAAAUGACGAACACAUGCACACUGCACAGUGGAUACACACAGAUCAUAUCUACUUGUCCAUAUAAAAAACAGUGCAUUUUUUUCAGUUCAAGUAUAGUUUACAUCAUAGAAACGGCACUAGAGCAAAGGACUAUAAGCCACCAAUAGGGCUGCAAACACACCGUACACCAGCGCACAUUUGUUUCACACACCACACAGGACACAUGCACGCAGCAGACAUGUUUUUUUUAGGAGGAAUCUUCGCGAGCCGCACGAUAAACACAGAAGGUACGGACGACAGGAGUAAAACCCGCGCACAUUCAACACACCGACACGAAAGGAAAUGCGGACGAUACGGGUGUAACCUGCGCCACACGAGCUAUCAACCCUCGUGGAUUUGAUCCUUUCCACCUGAAACAGUUACAACGCACACGAAAACAUCGAACACUGCACAUCUGUACCUCCGAUAUCGUGUCAACAAUUCCUGAGGCAACAAUUCAUGUUCACGACAUCAGAAAGUUAUCUAAAACUAAGUGACGGCGUAGGAAAAGUAGGCAGCAUCGCUAAACGUCAUGGAUUGGCUUCGAGACAGCUUCGAGACAGCCCAAACCGUUCAAAUCAGGCCACAGCGACGGCUUGAUAAGGAUAACCGAAGCUGAUCUCGAAGGCCAUGCUUAUGCUGGCUGCAGAUGGCGGAAGCAAUUCAAAGGUAAAAUACGUUUUAGAAUUUCUUUCUACGCCAAACUAUAGUGUAAAAUAUAGAUUGUUCUACAGUUAUUUUGUCUCGCAACAUCUAUACGUAGUUGUGUGUAACCCGGCACAAAAUUUUAGUAUGCGAGUGUACUGGUUAAUAUUUUUGUCAUCACAGAGGCCACAACAUUCUCACAAGUAUGCAGGUGGCGCUAUUGUUUUUCCUCCGUGUUCUGUGAUGGCGGUCGUAUGUGCGGGGUGCUACGAGCGUCGCGUUUGCUUGAUCGUGUGUUUUUGUGUUUGCUGUUAUGAAGUAGGUCGCAGUUAGCGUGCACAGAAGUGCCUGAAGAUACCUUGUGUCACGCUGCAAACUCGCCGUAUGCGUGGCGCGCCAGGCAAAUGUGGCCCAACGAUUUUAUGCCGUGGAGUGCGGUCUCUUUGUUCUCGUUCUGGAAAGUUGGGUGGACGUCGCAAAGAAUGUGUGUUAGCGCGCCUCAGCUCGUCCACUACGCAGCGGCAUGUAUGCGGGGAGUAACAUCGUCGACGCAGCACCGGCAACUUGGAGAGUGCUUCGCGACCGCGUCGUACCAUUCAAAAGUGGCGAGGCUGUGACCCAUAACAGUGCCUACAUAACGGAGGAGCCACCAGACCCCUUGGCUAUGCCUGCCGUAGUGCAACGUAUAAUCUGGAUGGUCGGGUCAGGUACACCUAGGAAAUGUUGUAUACAUUGGCAACGAUAACUGGGGCCUGCUCCAGUGCCAUCGCCGGGAUUCCCUGUUCUGCAAAGAACUGACAUAACUGAUGUGGGGAGCCCUGGCGCUCGGUGUAGGAGUAUCACAGGGGCUCCUUGUCGGUGCUUGAAGGACGGCAAUGCUGUUGAGAAGCCGACAUUGAGCCCCGAUAAAUUGGAAGCUGUGGGUAGUAAGUAUCAUUCACAUUUUUUCAAGUUUUUGUAAUGUUUGUAACAAUGCAUGUAUUGCACCGAAAUGAUUAACUUUUCAGAUGCAUUUGAUGCAUAUCUUUCGAAAUGUGGUACCCCUGAGGAGAAAAAAAUCAUCUUCUCAUGCUUGGUUUUGGCCGAGCGGUUGAAUCGAGUGACAAAGUUUUUCGCGUUUAGGUAGCCUAAGAAGAAACAAAAGCAGAAUUAACAAACCAGCUUAUUUGUGGCUACUCAUGAGUUGCAUUUCUUUGUUUAAAAGUGCCUGUGAAGUGGCGCUAACCUACUUAUCAGGUCCAGAAUUUUCGAUUAACACCGCUUCCAAAAGCUCGCGUUCUAAUUUGGUUUUUUCAAGGCCAGAACUUCCGUAUUCGUCAUCCGCGGAUAGCAACGGCAACUUUUGCAGUGUAGAGCAAUAUUCAACCCUUCUCCCGAUAUGCAACACCUGUAGCGUAGUUGUAGCUGGUCGUUCAGGCACUGAAUUGCUGUGCAGAUGUAGGCAACAACACAAGAGUUAAGACGAGAGACAUGCGGCAACUCUUUAACAAAAAGCUUUAUUUUUGCUAGCCCAUGUUUAUAGCUGUCAGUCACUGCAUUGCACAUGCGCAAUUCGCACCCUUAGGAAGAAAGUAAACUGUCUGACAAGUGUACAGAAGGUGUGCUGAUACACACAGAGCCAAGUCGCGAAAUCUUUUCAGCCUCAAUUAUUUUACGUGUUAGUUGAUCACCGCUUCUGCUGGAAACGGUACACUGAGCAAACGACGGUUCACAGUCACGCGAACUGCAAUGACAUUCAAGCCUACUGUCACGCACAUUUUUCUUGACAUUGUAUGAGUGUUCUCUCAGCCGGUGAUUGAUGCAGUGUCCCAUUUGACCUAUAUACUGUUUACCACAAGGGGGAUACAAUAAACCACAUUGCUAACACAGGUGACAAACGGAAUUUGGUGUUUUGUUGCAUAUGUGUGGCGUGCUGUGACAUUGCCUUUGAUUACACAACUUUAGAAUGAUAUGCAAUUUUCUUGAUAUUGUGAGAGCUUAUGAAUGUAGGGUAUGACGGCCAGUUUUAUGUCUGUCAGAUGCAGUGACCACAUGACCUCUACUCUGAAAAGCGCAUGCACCGAGUGGUUGCCAUGUGAUCACUCCAGUAUCUGACCGACUUAAAGUGGCUGUCAUACCAUACAUUCAUAAGCUGUCUCACAAUAUCGUGAAAACUGCAGAUCGUUCCAAAGUUAAAGUUGUCUUCUUUGCACCUCAGAAGCUUAUAAAGUUGUGUAAUCAAAGGAAAUGUUUCAGGGCAGCACACAAGUGUAACAAAAAGCACAAAAAUCCGUUCGUCACCUAUGUUAGCAACAUGAAUUACUGUACCCCUCUUUCUUGUGGUAAACAGUACAUAGGCCAAACAGGACGCUGUAUCAAUGACCAGCUGAGAGAACACUCUAUAAUGUCAAGAAAAACGUGCAUGACAGUUGGCUUGCAUGUUGUUGCAGUUCAUGUGCCAGUGAACCAUUGUUUGCUCGGUGUACUGUUGUCAGCAGUAGCGGUGAUCAACUAACACGUGAAAUUAUUGAAGCUGAAAAGAUUGCGCGACUUGGCUCUAUGUGUGUCAGCAUCUGUACACUUAUCAGACAGAGUUGACCUACCUAAGGGUGUGAAUUGCGCGUGUGCAAUGUGAUGAGUGACGGCUAUAAACAUGGGUCGCUGAAAAUAAAGCUUUUUGUUGGAAGUCAGCACACGUCUAUUGUCUCGUCUUUUCUGUCGUCAAUAUCUGUGCUGCAAUUCACCAAUAUGUUGUACCAACAAGUCAAAUUUAUCACUCACUCAUUGGAACUUUCUUUCAUCACGAAUGAAAUGUGGUUUUGGUACCGUGGUAGAGCAUUCACAUCAUUUGUUAAUUUUUGUUUUCUUCAAAGACUGAACUGGAUGUAACAAGCAGCCGUGGCAUUGCAAGGAAGCUUUAUGUUAAAGGAAUAUAUUGAUACUAACGUCUUAACUGCUUAGCGCAAUAAAGGAAGUUGUGGGUAUUGUUUAUUGUGCUUUCCUUGCUCUUGUGUCCAAACUUAUAGCUAUAAUGGUUAGGUUUUACUGAAAUUUGCUUUUUGAUGUUUUGCAUUAUUCUCCUGUGUAAAGUCACUAUUGUUUGUUUCACAGUUAUGCGAAGCUUAAGUUGUUUGUAAGCAUUUUUAUAGCCUGUUUUCACAGUAAACAUGGCUUACUUCAGUGUUUCAGAUGGCACUUUAUAGUUUGAUGUAAUUGAUGUCUCUGCAGGUUACCGCAUUAUUGACUUGGAAACCAGUGAGGUCUGGAUGCAAGUGAAGCUACCGAGGGAGGCAUGUGUGCAUCACUUGUGCUGCUGGCCAUCCUCUGCAAAAGUGAUGGCUGGCAGUCAGUGCUUGGAUGACUUUCUGUUACUCUACGCCUUGGGCUGUGUUGACUACUUCACACUUGCUGCCAUGUCUGCAAGCUUAGGCAAAAAGACCGGCUGGAUGCUUGGCAGGAGAUAGUAUCCAACCGCAGUGUUACUGUGUUGUGUUGUACAUUACAAAGUGAUGGAGGACAGUAUUUGUGCUGUUAUUAAGAAGUAUAAAUUGUGUUCUGCCAUUGAAAUAAGGGAACUCGACACAAAGCAAAAGAUUUCGAAGUCUGACCUACAUGGGAAAGCAAAAUAUAUUGUGUUGUAGUUGUAGCUGUUAGUAGAGUCUUAAUAUGCGAUAGAAGACCUUGAUGUUUAAUAGAAAAUAUAUUUAAGUGUGUUAUCAGUGUGUUAUCAGUGUUUAAGUUACUGUUAUGUGUCAUUUGUUUGCCAGGAUGAUGUAAGCAGACAGUAAAUAAAUGCAUGGUUUGAGAUUAUAACCAGGUUUGUCUAUGGCAUUCACUAUUAUUUAAGGUGGACCAAUGCAUAUUCAUGGGUGCAUAUUCAACCACCACAUUCCUCCUGCACAAACAAUUCCUACAUACUAGCGUUUGGUCUUAGCAGCUGAUGUUGGCUAUUAUACAAUUUCUUGAAAGCACAUGCAGCUACCGACACAUGAUUUUUAGAGCAGUAAGUCGGAAGCAAAGACUGAUUUUUUUCUGUGGUCUAAGCUUAAAUGAUAUGUUUAAGGAAAUGAACAUUUGUGGAAUAUAUUUACUUUCCUGCUGCGAGAACCUUUAUACGAGAACCUCUGCACAUUGGACGUGCAUGCUGCUUCUCUUGCUGUUAUAGCCAAAAUGAAAAAUUGUUCUUAUGAACCACUUCGCAGCUUUGCAUUGUGCACUUUUACUUGCAGUUAGCAUUUAUAUGCUGUGCUAUGGACAACAGCAAGACAAGUCAGGCAAACCACCAUGUGAAACACUUUAAAGAUUCUGGCUUAGGGCGCGUUGGUACUAUAUAUAGUGCAAGACAGAUGAGCUGCCCGUACAGCAGCGCUGUCAGCAUUACACGGCUGACAGCACCGCAAACCCUUAAAUUUAUAUUUGUUUGACAGAUAAUGCAUUCUAGUAGUUUUCAUGUCGUAUAUGCAUGAAAAUGUAAACAAGAACUGGUGAAAACAGCAUUAUUUUACGUGUAUAGUGUACCUUACCACAAGGUAAGGUACACAGAUAUCUUGGUAAGCUACACAAGAUAUAUACGUAAUAAACGCUGUUUUUCACUAAUUCUUGUUUCACAUUUUCAUGCAUAUGCAACAUGAAAACUACUAGAGUAAAUUAUCUGUCAAGCAAAUAUAAAUUUAAGGGUUUGCGGUGCUGUCAGCCGUGUCAUGCUGACAGCACUGCUGUUAUGCAUGUCUACAAAUAUUCUGCAAUGUCAGUUGAGUGUUGCUUGAACGUCACAUACGUACGUUGCCUGAAAGCUCAAGUGACAAAGGCAACAUCCACAUUACGUUGCCAGGAAGUUCUGUUAACGUUAUGUUAACGUCGUGAAUGUGCGGCUCAACGCUGCCACAACGUUACGACCCAACGUUGUGUGGCGAUCAAAAAAGAGGACAUUAGCAGCAUGUAGGCAACGUUAUACGCCGACAUUUGUGCACAUUCAGAGAA